AGGAAUUCAUCAUUCAUAACGCACACAGAUACACAAAAUCGUAGACAUCCUCCUCAAAAUCACAAGCCAAGCCCUCAACUCUCACCGAAAACGUAGGUUUCGUGAGUGGGUUACCUUUUUCAGAGACAUACUCAUCGAAAUCGCAUCAAAUUCGUCACCAACACCUCCAAAAUCAUCAUAAUCCAGCCGAAAUUGGACUAUUUAGGUUUGUUCUGGUUGCUGACCGCACACUGGAGCGCAAUUUCGAUCGGAGUCAGUGGUAUCUCCGAUUUUAAAGUUGUUGGGUUUGUCUGUUUUGGGGUUUUUUGAUACCGGGAUGGAAUCAUUUAUCUCAAAAAAUUUUGUUAGAUUUUGAAUCUGUUCAGGUUGGGUUUCUAUAUUCGGGUUUGGUUUGCUCAUUGUUGGGGUCCUUAAUCGAGGAUUUCGAUUUUCUGACUUCUUUAUUAUCUACGAGAACACUCUAUUGAGGUCUAAUUCUAAGUUCUCCUCUUUUAUUUCAUUAUUCAUUGUAUUUGGU
rnacentral:lncRNA from 1 species